rnacentral:lncRNA from 1 species
CGACGCCCCCACCACGGCGGCCGUCCCUGUCGCCGACACCACCGCCGUCACUGCCCCUGCCGAGGUAAGGGUCAGGGUUAGGUUUAAUUUUCUAUUUAUGUUUAGUUAGGGUUUAAAAUCUUAUUUUUUAUGUUUAGUUAGGGUUUAAAAUCUUUAGUUCUAUAGUUAAUUAGGGUUGAAUCUUGCUAUUUUCUUCAUUAGGGUUGAAUCUUAUUGUUUAUGUUUAGUUAGGGUUUAAAUAUUAUUGUUUAUGUUUAGUUCUAUAGUUAGUUAGGGUUCAAUCUUGCUGUUUUUUUAAUUAGCGUUGUUGUUUAUGUUUAGUUAGGGUUAAAUAUUGUUGUUUAUGUUUAGUUCUAGCUAUUUAGGGUUUAUAUUGCUAUUUAUGGUUAAGUAUUGAUGUUAUUGCUGUUUAUGGUUUAAUGAUAAAUGCAUGUGAUCCCGACCAUCGUGUCGGUUCAUAUGAGGAAUGUGGGCCCGGCCAUCGUGCCGGGUUGUUGAGAAGGGUCUGGCCAUCGUGCCGUGGGGGUAUAUGUGGGUGGGAGUUUUUUUUAUGCAGGUAUAACAUUCGGGUAGACUCAUUUGUUGUUUUACAGCAAUGGUCAUGCCGAAAUUUUCUUGUUUUACAGCAUAGGUCAUGCCGAAUUUUUCCAUUUUUUUAAAAUUACUUUUAUAAGUGUUGGAUAGGAACCUCAGGCUCGCGUUGAAGAGGUGCCUGAGCAGCCACCGGUUGUGGAGGGAGAAGUCGAAGA